GUCAAGCUACAAAGGGCUCACGGAGGAUACCUAGGCACACAGAGCGAUGAACGACGUGUACUGCGAUAAGUCUCGGGGAGUGAGCACACUUUGAUCGGGAUUUCGAUGGGGCACCCCUAGACGUUCGCUGAUCAUAGCGACGCAGCAACAAGCGACUGAACAUCUAGU
rnacentral:rRNA from 1 species